CGACCGGCGCACGGGUGAGUAACGCGUAUGCAACCUGCCCGUUUCAGCGGGAUAACCCGGAGAAAUCCGGCCUAAUACCGCAUGUGGCCGAGGGGAGGCAUCUUCUUUCGGCCAAAGGAGGCGACUCCGGAGACGGAUGGGCAUGCGUGACAUUAGCUUGUUGGCGGGGUAACGGCCCACCAAGGCGACGAUGUCUAGGGGUUCUGAGAGGAAGGUCCCCCACACUGGUACUGAGACACGGACCAGACUCCUACGGGAGGCAGCAG
rnacentral:rRNA from 1 species